rnacentral:ncRNA from 1 species
GGACAAGGUAGAGGCUUGGAUCUCCGCCCGAUUAGAACGCGUGGCACCCGACCGGGGGCGGGAGGAGCCAGUGGUGCGACCGGCUACCUCCAGG